GCGGGUAUAGUUCAGUGGUAGAACGUCUGCUUCCCAAGCAGGAUGUCAUGAGUUCGAAUCUCAUUACCCGCU
rnacentral:tRNA from 1 species